rnacentral:tRNA from 1 species
GGUGCGGUGGCCGAGCGGUUGAAGGCGCCGGUCUUGAAAACCGGUGAGGGCGUUAGUCCUCCGCGGGUUCGAAUCCCGCCUGCACCG